rnacentral:rRNA from 1 species
UGGGGAAUAUUGGACAAUGGGCGAAAGCCUGAUCCAGCCAUGCCGCGUGUGUGAAGAAGGUCUUCGGAUUGUAAAGCACUUUAAGUUGGGAGGAAGGGCAGUAAGCGAAUACCUUGCUGUUUUGACGUUACCGACAGAAUAAGCACCGGCUAACUCUGUGCCAGCAGCCGCGGUAAUACAGAGGGUGCAAGCGUUAAUCGGAAUUACUGGGCGUAAAGCGCGCGUAGGCGGUUCGUUAAGUUGAAUGUGAAAGCCCCGGGCUCAACCUGGGAACUGCAUCCAAAACUGGCGAGCUAGAGUAGGGCAGAGGGUGGUGGAAUUUCCUGUGUAGCGGUGAAAUGCGUAGAUAUAGGAAGGAACACCAGUGGCGAAGGCGACCACCUGGGCUCAUACUGACACUGAGGUGCGAAAGCGUGGGGAGCAAACAGG